UUUCUUUUUCUUUUUUUUUUUAAGGCAGUGCCAACAGGAAUGUAUUUUAUAUGAUGAAUAUUUCUCAUUUGCAGGCAGUGCAAGAAGUCAUGUGGACGAAACAGAAAAAGCAUUAGGACCAAGUCCAUUUUUUCCCAUUCCCAUGCAAGCCUUUUUAGUUGGCUGAAGUAUAUACACAGAUUUUCACAGGGUCUCCGUAUGUGACAGGUGGAUAUGAUGCUAGAUGACAUCUCAAAUAGUAGUGCGACUCUGUCCAAGAUGUCCAUGAAAUUGCGAAGUGUAUGUGUGAGAAGUAUGCGGAGGCUCAGGAAAAAAAGAGGACAAAAAGUUGGUGGGCUCAAUGUAUGUGUUCACAUUGACGAAAGCAAGUUUCACCACAGACGAAAAUAUGCCAGAGGCCGUUUUGGAGGUGCAUGGAGAAGGAAAAGCUGGGUAUUCGGAAUGGUUGAGAUUUUGCCUUCCCGAAAACCAGUAUUGCGGUUGGUGGACAAAAGGGACAAGACAACCCUUUUACCAAUCAUAGAGAAACAUGUAAAAAGAGGCAGCAUCAUUCAUAGUGAUGAGUGGCGUGCAUACUCAGCGCUUUCAGAGAGAGGAUACCAACACCACACAGUGAACCAUAGCAUUAAUUUUGUUAAUCCAUUGACUGGGGUGCAUACACAAAACAUUGAACGGGCAUGGGCAAACUUCAAAAGGGAAGUGUGGAGGUUGCGUGCAAACCGGUCAGAGAAGGCUCUCAAAAAACAUCUGAUAUACAUAGAAUGGACAUAUUGGUUAGGCAGGAGUCACAGACAGGGGAUUCUCGGAAGGCUUUUGCAUGAUAUCAGUCAGUUCUAUCACUGACUUUAUUUUAUUAUUAUUAUUAUUAUUAUUAUUAUUAUUAUUAUUAUUAUUAUUUUUUUUUUUUUUUAAAUUCAUGUUUAUAACCCUAUAAAAAAAGUGUUGUUGGUAAUAUAAAAUGUUCAUGUUUUUUUCUUGGAACUUUCUCACAGAUGCACACACAUAUAGCAAAGUAAAAAAGGAGACUUUCAUUUUGUGUUGUCCACAGCCUCCUUUUAUUAUUAUUUAUUUUUUAAAUUUUUUUACAGCAGUUCAUUAAAAGCAGUUGGCUGGACAAACUAAUGACUCUGGUAUUUAUUUCCCAUUUGGCAGAUAUGUACUUGUACUGUGGUGCUGUCAUUUCCUUAAUCUUAGACCAAAUACUUAUUGGUGUCUGUACUUACUAUCUAUUGACUGUCUGCUGAAAAUCCACUGACGACUGGUAGCCAUGUUGUCUUUGAUGUUGGCCUAUAGAGUCAUUCAACAGCAUUUCUUAGAUUUUCACUUCAUUUUGAUGGGCCAAAUGCAGACCUGCCAACAUGUACGCAUUUUGCGUACCAGGUACGCAUUUUGACCUCAAAGUACGCUGGUACGAUUUGUCAUUCUAUACUACGCAAAAACCCGGUGACUCCUCUGUGCACGCCUAGUACUCAAAUCCAGCAAAAGAGUUCGACCAAUCUGAGCGCUGGGUUCAUUUCCCUAAAUAGCAAGAGGGGAUGAUUGACAAAUGCGUACAGCCUAUCAAUAAAAAGAGACUGCAAAUCGACAGCAAUACAAAAUCCCGCUCGAUCCCUCCUUCCACUCCCGCCGUCUGUGACUGAAUUCUCAAGCGAGGACAAUACAGCAGUCAUGGUACUUCUGACACCUUAAGGUAAACGAGUAUAAAAUGUACAAGUAAUGUUGGACAACAAAUCUAAAUAAAAUUGAAAUCGCUGAUUAUGAAAAUGUUGUGAUGUGUGACUGACUGACAAGCGCGAGUCUGGAGAAACAGGCGUUUAUUUAUUUAUUCUCAGUGUUGAGAAACAUAUAUAGCCUACAUGUGUUGCGUUAUUAUGUUAAUACUAACUAAAGUAACUAAUUAUGUUACAUAGCCUACUUAUUUUGUAUGAAAACUAGCACAUUAGUUACUUAUGCAUUUAACAUGACCGUUGUCUCAAUGCUGCGCGA